UUAUAUUGCUUUAAUAUAUGAAUCAUUAGGCAGGCACCAUAUAUUUCCAUUAGAUAUGGAAAUGCUCAUACCUCAUCCUUCUUUGCUAUGUUGUAAUUUUAGCACAUGCCCCAGUUGAACCUUGUCAAUAUGGCAGUGAUAUAGUGGUACCUCGUCUGAUGGUACCACAAGAGGUUUCUUGUGCAGCAAUUAGCUUGGGAAUGAACACACAGAAUCUUGUUGUAUAUAGUAACCAUUUUCAUGUAUUAAGUGAUACAUUCAUGCCUUUAUUUACUCAAGACCACAUUAUGGAGCAUAGCUGUGUAGAUGUUCUUACAAUAAAUAAGGUUAAGAAGGUGCCUAGAUUUGUUUUAAUAACAGUUUGAGAGAAACUACUACAGCUGAUGCUCCAGUUCUCCAACCUUCUUACCAAGUGUCCACUCAUAUCUAUUCUAUAUAUGUGCCAAAUGCUUACUUUUGAGGUAUGUUUCUGAUCUUAAGUACUUAUAUACAACUUUUAUGACCAUUCAAUAAUUUCUAGUUGGAUGCAUCAAUAUGUGCUUGAAGAUUGUUGAUACUUUUUGUCCAACAUGACUGCGUAUUCAGCACUUACCUUUCCCUCAAAAAGGAAAAUCACUGAGGAACAAGACUGUCGUGGCGGAAUGAUGAAAAAUUUGUGCUCUGUGACCAUUGGUCAAGUUUACGACACUUUUUUCUUGGGGUGAUUGAAUUAAAGGACAGGAAUAAUCGUAGAUUAGUUGUAUUGUGCCACAAAGGAUGAUGGAACCUCAAAUAAAUUAUGUUGAUAAGUUCCAGCCAAUCAAUGGGAGGCAAUGUUCCAAAAGAAAAAAAAGACUCCAAAGUGCCUUUUCCAAAUCAAAAUCAAAGUUCCAGGAAUCCUAGAAAAAAUGGAUCCCACAGAGAUGGAAUAAUAUUUGGUGGCGCAUGCCUUACAUAUAAUUUUUCAGCUUUGAUCAUUAGCUGUUACGCACUCUUUUCCAUAUGCAGCGAGGAGCAACAAAAUUAGAAGCUCCAACUUGCUGUUGCUUCCUCCACCGAAUGGUCUGAUAAGUUCUGGUAGGUCAUGGUGCCGUGAAGUUGAUUGGAACAUGAAAAAUAUCGCAACUUGAUAUUUCAAGUUUGCAACUCGCCUACUUAAUGAGGCUUCCAUGUAAGUAGCCCUUUUUAACUUUGUGUUGCCAAAAUGUGGACGGUAGAGUGUUAUUUGCUAAUUUUGUAUGGCCAUACAAGUGGAUCUACACGGAGGUGUUGUACUUUAUAUUUCAAUUUUGCAACUUGCGUAGUUGCAUGCUUCAAUUUGCAACUUGCAUACUUAAAUGAGGCUUCCAUGAUAUAUUUAGCACUUGCUAACUUCUUACAGCCAAAUGUGGACCAUGGGGUGUUACUGCUAAUUUAAUACCAGUGGACCGCCCAGUAUGGCGAGCAGAUGUUUCAUUAAAUAACUGAUUAUCAUGCUCUCUGUGCCAACUCAUGCAAGGAAGCUGGAAGUGAGGGCACCUAUCAUCAGCGUGCGGCCUUCAUGCACAGGAAGGAGUGUUCUGCAGGCGCCUGCAACUCAGACCGAUUCUACCACUCCAGGUCAUGGCCCCAGCAUUGGCCAUAACAGCCCUCCGAAUUGAAAUGGUCUGCUCCUUGCUACAUGCUGUCAUCUGUAUCUCAAAUUUGUACCCGGAGUAUUUGAAGCUUAUGUGGUGUGUUUCUAGAGGAUUCUAUGUGUUUGUUGAAAUUUGAAUGGCUCAAGACAGGCGAUGGAGGUUAAUUAGCAGAGUUUUUGUUUCCUUCCGUUUAGAUUUAUCACCAGUGAAAUUUGAUGCGUGCUGUCAUGCUUCAUUUUGUCACUCUUGUGUGGAAGACGUGCACUAAACAUUGUCUCCGAGGAGCUGUAUGGAUCUGUAGGCUGUAGCCGUGGUUUACUCGAUGCUGUAAACUUGAGGAUGUGUACUGUAACCUGACCAUGUUUAAAGUUUUCUUCCCACACUGUUGUGAACUUGGAGAGGUCUGUAACACCAUAUGAGUCGGUUUCUCCACUUACUGGCACAGUUGAAAU